UACGAAGGGGGCUAGCGUUGUUCGGAUUUACUGGGCGUAAAGCGCACGUAGGCGGAUUGUUAAGUCAGGGGUGAAAUCCUGGAGCUCAACUCCAGAACUGCCUUUGAUACUGGCAAUCUUGAGUCCGGAAGAGGUGAGUGGAACUCCUAGUGUAGAGGUGGAAUUCGUAGAUAUUAGGAAGAACACCAGUGGCGAAGGCGGCUCACUGGUCCGGUACUGACGCUGAGGUGCGCAAGCGUGGGGAGCAAACAGG
rnacentral:rRNA from 1 species